ACAGCAGGGUAUAAAGAAAACAGAGCAAAUUGAGAUAGUGAACGCACAAGGAUUGAGUUCAGGGUCAUGCCUCAAUGAUGCCUUCUGUGGCGCAUCCGAGUUCACACCUGCAUGAGCUUUAGAAACCACUUCAAUCCCAUUGUUUGGCUUUAUAUAUCAAAAAAUGAAAAUGAAGUGAACAAAUAAAAAAGGUUCAGAUCAUAUAUAAGGACAUCUUAAUUUCAAAAAGGAGAGAACCAGAAAAGACCUCUAACUCUUCGGGAAGACCAGUUUGAACGACUCCAUUUCCAC
rnacentral:lncRNA from 1 species